rnacentral:ncRNA from 1 species
AAGAAAAGUGCGGGAGAGAUCUAAAGAAUCUGUUUUUAAAAAAAUUCUUUAGGCGCCGAAGGAACAAGCUGAAAAUUCGCCAUUUUUAGUGAAUAUCUCAGGCAAAAGGACCGUAUUUGGACA